AAGUCACAUUCACGGGCUUUUAAACGUGACAUCACUUGUUUGUUUUAGUGAAAAAUAACAGUCACCAGAUCUCUGAAGAGGUAGGAUUUUUUUAUACUAGAAAAAAGCAGAAAAUCAUAAAUAUUAUUUGGUAUAGAAAAUGCUUCUUCCAGCUAUGCUAAUCUUGUUUAUUUUUCGCUCAUAUGCAACGGUAUUUACGUUUCCGUAAAUGGUUUCAGACAUUUGUUUACUGACAAUUACCGUUACCGCAGCAACGAUCUGUCCAUCUGCAGUGUAAACAGAUUUAUUUAGUCAUGUAAACAAAGUAUUUACCGUGCUGUAGAGAAGUAGAGGCGCAGUGGAUAUGCUUAGCAAGUUGAAGGAGAAAAGAUUGCAAAGGUCAUACCGGUAUUCAACUGAUUGACUAGACUGAACUGUACUGUACUUCAGAAGCAUUUACCUGUUACUUUUUAACUUCUUGUAGUUUCGAUGAUUAUUUUGGCCUUUGUGUAUUUCAUCUUUGUGUGACAUCCAGUUAUUACUUUAAAACUUAAGUAAUUUAUAUUUCCCAUUUUUGAUGCACUGAGUGAGAAAAAAACUACUUGAUUAUUCAAAUUUGUUCAAUAUUUUAAGAAAUAGCAAACAACAGUCUACAAAAUUAUUUUGGCAAUACAGUUUAAUCAGAAAUAAUGUUGAAAGGCAUAAAUGAUUUUUAAGUUGAUUUUAUGUUUAUUUUUUUUGUGAAUAAGCUAUAUUAUCUUCCACUGUCUAGGAUGAUUUGCUUCAGAAAAUUAUUUAAUCAUUGUUGAAGGUUGAACAAUUCUAGACUACUGUGCAUGAUUUAGGAAUAGAAUAUGAAUGUGGAUAUUUUAAAUAUUGAUCUAGAAUAAAUGCCCUAA